rnacentral:rRNA from 1 species
CCUACGGGAGGCAGCAGUGGGGAAUAUUGCGCAAUGGGCGAAAGUCUGACGCAGCGAAGCCGCGUGAGGGAUGAAGGUCUUCGGAUCGGAAAACUCCGUUAGCAUGGAAGAACGGUCACUGUGCUAAUCAGCAGUGAAUUGACGGUACCUGCAAAGGAAGCACCGGCUAACUCCGUGCCAGCAGCCGCGGUAAUACGGAGGGGGCGAGCGUUAAUCGGAAUUACUGGGCGUAAAGCGCUCGUAGGCGGUAUGUCAAGUCAAGGGUGAAAUCCCCGCGCUCAACGUGGGAACUGCCUUUGAAACUGGCAAACUGGAGUGUAGGAGAGGAUAGUGGAAUUCCAGGUGUAGGAGUGAAAUCCGUAGAUAUCUGGAGGAACAUCAGUGGCGAAGGCGACUAUCUGGCACAUAACUGACGCUGAGGAGCGAAAGCGUGGGUAGCAAACAGGAUUAGAUACCCCUGUAGUC